AAUAAAGCGCAUGGUGGAUGCCUAGACUCAAAAAGACGAUGAAGGACGUAGCAAUCUGCGAUAAGCCUCGGGGAGCUGAUAAGCAAGCUUUGAUCCGGGGAUCUCCGAAUGGGAAAACCCUAUUGUGUAAACCACAAUAAAUCGUGCAUGGCACGGAAUUUCUAAUUUCUAAUUUCUAAUUUCUAAACAAUUUCUAAUGAUUAAAUUCCAAAAUAAAAUUUGGAAAUUAAAAAUUGAGAUUUAUUUGGAAAUUGUGAUUUGGGAUUUGGAUUUUUCAGCGCGUAGCGCUGACGUGGUAGAGGAGUAUUCUUAAAUCGUUGAAGUCGGACCCGCGAGGGCUGGUGGAGAUUUAAGAAGCAAGAAUGUUGGCAUAAGUAACAAAAAGAUCGGUUAAAAUCCGAUCCACCGAAAGCCUGAGGUUUCCUGGGCAACGACCAUCGACCCAGGGUUAGGCGAUCCUAACUCCGUACCUUUUAGUCUUUGUUAAAAUAAAUAACAAAAAUUAAAAGGUGCGGGGGAUGGAAGAGCAGGUUAAUAUUCCUGCCCUACUGUAAGUUUAUCCAUUAACUGACGCAUUUAAGUGUGUGAUCGUCAUAUGACUAUGGCGUUUCUGCUUUACCGCAAGGUGGAGUGGAUAGAAGUGAAAGCUCCGGCUGGAUCAAAUUCACGUAAUUAUAGUGCCAAGAAAAGGUUAUUGGUCACGAUUUAUAGUAUUCGUACCGCAAACCGACACAGGUAGGCGGGUUGAGCAUACUAAGGUGUACGAGAGAACCCUUUUUAAGGAAUUCGGCAAAACAGCGGGCGUAACUUAGGGAUAAGCCCUCCCGUUCUGGGCGCAAGCUUUUGAACGGGCGCAGCGAAAGAGCUUUGGCGACUGUUUAUCAAAAACACAGGUCUCUGCUUAAGUCGUAAGACUAUGUAUAGGGACUGAUGCCUGGCCAGUGUCCGAACGUUAAGGUGAGGGGUCAUUCCUCCGUAAGGAGGAGGCAGCCUUGAUCUGAAGCGCGGAUGAACGCCGGCGGUAACUAUAACCGUCCUAAGGUUUUGUGGCAUAAUUUUUUAAGCCACAAAAGGACUAGGACUGUUAUAGAAAUGAAUCUGCUGCCUCUUUUUAUAGUAAUAUAAAAAAUGGUCCUAAAAAAUUUGGCCAUAUGCUGGAAAUUUAUUUUAUGUUAUAAUUCGGACAAAGGAUAUUUAACCCUUGUCUAAAAUAUACAAAACAAAAUGAACAAUCAGCAGGAAAGACUAAUUAAAUUAGGUUGGAUAAAAGGUUUUGUUGACGGUGAAGGAUGUUUUUCUAUUAGUUUAAUCAAACAAAACAAUAGAAAAGAAAAAAAUAGAAUGAGAAAAGGCUACAAAACCGGAUAUCAAAUUUUUCACGAAUUUGCUGUUACCCAAGGCGCUAAAAGUUUAAAUUCUUUAGAAGCGCUAAAAAAAUUUUUUGGGGUAGGUAAUAUUUAUGUGAAUAAAAGACAUGAUAAUCAUCAUGACAACCUUUAUCGUUAUGUAGUAAGAAAAAGAGAUGAAUUAACAACGGUAAUAAUUCCUUUUUUUAAAACCAACAAGUUGCUAACUUCAAAAAAUGAAAAUUUUGAAAAAUUUGCUCAGUGCGUAGAGAUGACUGCAAAUAAAGAGCACUUGACUUUGAAAGGCUUAAAAAAGAUAAUUUCAAUUGCUAAUUUAAUGAACAGAAAAAAGAAAAGAAAAAUUUAAUUAGAAUCCUCAGAGACUAUACGCCAAACAUCCCCUAGUGGGAUGAAGAUAUAGUCCUUCGUUUAAAGGAAACGAAAAGCGAAAUUCCUUGUCGGCUAACUUCCGACCUGCACGAAUGGCAUAACGGUCUAAGCACUGUCUUAAAAAGGGACUCGGUGAAAUUGCAAGGCCAGUGAAGAUGCUGGCUACUCACAGAUAGACGAAAAGACCCCGUGAAGCUUUACUAUAACUUGAUAUUGACCUAUUGAUUAACAUGUUCAGCAUAGGUGGGACCCGCCCAGAGCGCAAGCUUUUGGGCGGGACCAGUGAGAUACCACCCUUGUUAUUCAGUAGUUCUAACCUCGAUUUAUCGAGAGACAGUAUCUGGCGGGUAGUUUGAGUGGGGCGCUCGCCUCCUAAAAAGUAACGGAGGCAUUUACAAAGGUUGGCUAAUUCCGGAUGGAAACCGGGAUUGUCGGGUAAACCCAUAAGCCAGCUUUACUGCGAGUCCUACAAGACGAGCAGUUACGAAAGUAGAAGUUAGUGAACCGACCAUCCCAUUUAGGUGGGUGGAAGAUCACUGGACAAAAGCUACUCCGGGGAUAACAGGCUGAUCCCGCCCAAGAGUUCANNUAAAGUGGUACGUGAGCUGGGUUCAAAACGUCGUGAGACAGUUUGGUCUCCUAUCUUCUGUGAGCGUCAAAUUUUGAGGAGCUUCUUCUCUAGUACGAGAGGACCGAGAAGGACGAACCUCUGAUGUACCGGUUGUCGUGUCAACGGCAUCGCCGGGUAGUCAAGUUCGGGUUGGAUAAACGCUGAAAGCAUAUAAGCGUGAAGCCGUCUCCAAGAUUAGAAUUUAUUGUCUCCUGGCAGACUACCAGGUUGAUAGGUGGCUGUGUGUAAGGUCCGUAAGGACUUCAGCAAAGGCCAUACUAAUCAGACAAAACUUUCAAUGU
rnacentral:rRNA from 1 species